AACGAACGCUGGCGGCAGACUUAACACAUGCAAGUCGAACGCAUCGCAAGAUGAGUGGCAGACGGGUGAGUAACGCGUGGGAACAUACCCUUUUCUACGGAAUAGCUCUGGGAAACUGGAAUUAAUACCGUAUACGCCCUACGGGGGAAAGAUUUAUCGGGGAAGGAUUGGCCCGCGUUGGAUUAGCUAGUUGGUGGGGUAAAGGCCUACCAAGGCGACGAUCCAUAGCUGGUCUGAGAGGAUGAUCAGCGACAUUGGGACUGAGACACGGCCCAAAGUCGUACGGGAGGCAGCAGUGGGGAAUAUUGGACAAUGGGCGCAAGCCUGAUCCGGCCAUGCCGCGUGAGUGAUGAAGGCCUGAGGGUUGUAAAGCUCUUUCACCGAUGAAGAUAAUGACGGUAGUCGGAGAAGAAGCCCCGGCUAACUUCGUGCCAGCCGCCGCCGUAAAAC
rnacentral:rRNA from 1 species